rnacentral:rRNA from 1 species
ACCACGACUUCGAAUUCUCCGCAAUUGGCGAGCUGACAGUAGCAGGCUCGCUAGUUGAUGAAGCUUACCGAUCGUAAAGCUUCUGUUGGCAAGGAAGACGUUUUUCUAGAGUAUUGCUAGAGACGUGACCGUACUUGAGAAAGAAGGCCGGGCUAACUGACGUUCAGCAGUCGCAGUAAUACUUAGGGGGCAAGCGAUUUCCGAACUAUUGGGCGUAAUGCGGCGGGGCAGGCGGUUUCUUUCAGUUCUAGUUUUUUAACCCCGAGGCUCAUCUUCGGUCGCACUGGGAAACUGGGGGACUUGAGUGCAGAAGAGGAUGAGUGGAACUUCCCACCGUGUAGCGGUGAAAUGUGUAGAUAUGUGGAGGCAACACCAUGUGGCGAAGGCGACUCUCUGGGCUUUAACUGCCGCUGAGGCGCGAAAGCGUGGGGGAGCAAACAGGAUUAGAUACCCUGGUAGUCCACGCUGUAAACGAUGAAUGCUAGGUGUUAGGGGUUUCGAUACCCUUGGUGCCGAAGUUAACACAUUAAGCAUUCCGCCUGGGGAGUACGGUCGCAAGACUGAAACUCAAAGGAAUUGACGGGGACCCCGCACAAGCAGUGGAGUAUGUGGUUUAAUUCGAAGCAACGCGAAGAACCUUACCAAGUCUUGACAUCCCUCUGAAUCCUCUAGAGAUAGAGGCGGCCUUCGGGACAGAGGUGACAGGUGGUGCAUGGUUGUCGUCAGCUCGUGUCGUGAGAUGUUGGGUUAAGUCCCGCAACGAGCGCAACCCUUGUUUUUAGUUGCCAGCACUUCGGGUGGGCACUCUAGAAUGACUGCCGGUGACAAACCGGAGGAAGGCGGGGAUGACGUCAAAUCAUCAUGCCCCUUAUGACUUGGGCUACACACGUACUACAAUGGCUGGUACAACGGGAAGCGAAGCCGCGAGGUGGAGCCAAUCCUAUAAAAGCCAGUCUCAGUUCGGAUUGCAGGCUGCAACUCGCCUGCAUGAAGUCGGAAUUGCUAGUAAUCGCGGAUCAGCAUGCCGCGGUGAAUACGUUCCCGGGUCUUGUACACACCGCCCGUCACACCACGAGAGUUUACAACACCCGAAGUCGGUGGGGUACUCCACGGAGCCAGCCGCCGAAGUGGUUUAGCA